rnacentral:rRNA from 1 species
GACGAACGCUGGCGGCGUGCUUAACACAUGCAAGUCGAACGGAAAGGCCCUGCUUUUGUGGGGUGCUCGAGUGGCGAACGGGUGAGUAACACGUGAGUAACCUGCCCUUCACUUUGGGAUAACUUCAGGAAACUGGGGCUAAUACCGGAUAGGAGCUCCUGCUGCAUGGUGGGGGUUGGAAAGUCUCGGCGGUUGCGGAUGGACUCGCGGCUUAUCAGCUUGUUGGUGGGGUAGUGGUUUACCAAGGCUUUGACGGGUAGCCGGCCUGUGAGGGUGAACGGCCACCUUGGGACUGAGAGACGGCGCAGACUCGAACGGGAGGCAGCAGUGGGGAAUAUUGCACAAUGGGCGGAAGCCUGAUGCAGCGACGCCGCGUUCGGGAUGACGGCCUUCGGGUUGUAAACCGCUUUCGGCUGUGACGAAGCGUGAGUGACGGUAAUGGGUAAAUAAGCACCGGCUAACUACGUG